CCUUCCCUUUAUCCUUCUUCCCUUCUUCCCAGCCUCUCUUCCUCCCUCCUCCUUUCCCUUCCAUCCUCUUUUCCUUCCUUCCCUUCAUCCUUCUUCCCUUCUUCCCACCCUCUCUUCUUCCCUCCUCCUUUCCCUUCCAUCCUCUUUUCCUUCCUUCCCUUCAUCCUUCGUCCCUUCUUCCCACCCUCUCUUCCUCCGUCCUCCUUUCCCUUCCAUCCUCUUUUCCUUCUUUUCUUUCCUUCCCUUCGUCCUUCUUCCCUUCUUCCCACCCUCUCUUCCUUCCUCGUCCUCUCGCGCCCUCCUUCUCUCGCUUCCUUCCCUUCCUUCCUCGGUUCCUCGCUCCCUUCCUUCUUUCCUUCCCGAAAGCGAGUGCUCUUUUCGUUACAUUAUUCACACUCAGCUCAGAUAUUCUCUGUUCUAAGGCCGCUCCCACCUCUGACUUCCUGUAUUCUAAAGGCCCUCCCAGUUCUGACCCUAUGACUGGCUGAAUAGCUCACGCCUGUUCUUCUCCUGGGCUGACUUUGCCCAAUCCACUCUGUGUGGCACCACUCUGUCGCUGAGGCUCUUGUCUCACAGUCAUCCUUGAGGCUGAUGAUCUGCAGAGCCAUGUCCUACCUUAUCCAAGCUGGAUGACUGAGUCACGAGAAUUCUGUUUUGUUUUGUUUUUAUGGCUUUCAGGAACCCCAGAUUCCGAUGUGGAGUGUGCGGCGUGUGCUCCGGGCACCUUUUCAGACACUAUCUCUUCUACAGACACUUGCAAACCCCACAGGAGGUGUCUUUCCGUGGCCACCCCUGGUAACGCAACUUCAGAUGCCAUCUGCAAUGACAUGGACUUUGCCCCUACAAAGGCCGAGCCACCUUUCUCCAAGCAUCAGCCUGAGUUCAUGAAUCCCAAAGAAACCACAUGGACCUCUGAGCCAAAUGUUACUCUAGCCACCUCUCCCCAACCGCAGCCACAGCCUACAGUCCGACAGGUGUCAUCUGAUAGCCCUGUGCUUCCACUUGGUAAGUGAUGGGAAUGAGCUCUACUCACUGAUGCGGCUGGGGGUUUUAGCACAUUGUGGGGAGAUCUGGACUAUUCACUCACCCCAGGAACGAGAAUCCCAAUGGUUUGGGCUUGCUUUCUGCUCUCCUUUCUUCCUUAAACGGUUUGGGUUUUUUUUUAUUAGAGCUGCUAAUAAUCGUAUCUGAGAGAAGAAGGAUGGCUAGUUUUAGUCUGUACCUCUGUGUUUAUGGAGGUCGGGACAGUAACAACGGUGGGGCAAGCAGCACUUUGCUAUUCCAACUAGGCAUCAAGCUUAGAGGAUGCUGAUAUAUCAGUUCUGGGUCUUUCAACUCCAUAAAAACAGUGAGACUGAGCAUAUAGUUAGCAAGAAUAAUUAGUUAAAAUAGAAACCUCCCAUAUAGACUCUAAACGAUCACCCCAGUGCACAAUAUUAAUGAUAUGGAAACAGGUCUUGAUCAAUGACAUGUCAAUCCCGAUGGAAUUGCUCGUUGGCUACAGGAGGGGGGUGGGAGGUAGGGAGGGAAAAAACAUGAAUCACGUAACCAUGGAAAAAUAUUCUAAAUUAACUAAUUAAAUACAAUUUUCCAAAAUAAAUUUGAAUGGGGGAAAAAUAGAAACCUCCCA
rnacentral:lncRNA from 1 species